rnacentral:rRNA from 1 species
ACCGAGCGGCGGACGGGUGAGUAACGCGUGGGUAACCUGCCUCAUACAGGGGGAUAACAGUUGGAAACGGCUGCUAAUACCGCAUAAGCGCACAGUACCGCAUGGUACGGUGUGAAAAACUCCGGUGGUAUGAGAUGGACCCGCGUCUGAUUAGGUAGUUGGUGGGGUAACGGCCUACCAAGCCGACGAUCAGUAGCCGACCUGAGAGGGUGACCGGCCACAUUGGGACUGAGACACGGCCCAA